UGUAUGUAACCAUAAUGUAACCAGGUAUAACAGACCCAUUAAUAUUAUAAUUGAGUUCACUAAAAAGAAAAAAAAAAGAGAGAGACUGUUUAUUUUCUGUAUUUUUAAUUGUUCAUAUCAGCGGAUUUUUUUAGUUCUCUUAUCGCAAUUGUAUGCAUCACACAGUUUACGUAUUCCCACGUGGGUGUAGGUAGCCUCAGCAGCCAAUCAGAGGUUACGCAAGUCCCGUUCAGCGUGUCGACACAGAGGCGAGGCGCGGGUGCAGCUUCUUCCGGUUUUUUCUAAAAUCAUAGCGAGAGAGACGGGGGUAGCUGUGUGUUAGCAAGGAGUCAAAACCAGGACAAAAUUUUGGAGGUUUGUCUAAAAGGAAAAAGAGUCGGAGCACACUUCACCGAAGAUCCGGAGUCGUGUUAUAGAACGAAGUUACGUCGGCUAACCACUUGCCCUUUUGUCUGGGAAGUUGCCACGAGGUCCAUCAUCGUCGUGUUACACCUUGAUAUACCCGGAGCAACGGUCAGGUUUUUUUUGUAGGACGGAUGUUGUCCAGAACCAACAUCUCCAGUUAUUUCGAUGGCGAGCCAAGUCCACUGAGGAAAGUCCAGCACCGAUUUCCCCAUCCCCCUGCACAUAAUACUUACCUUACAAGUAUCUUUGGAACAAGGUGAACUGUACAACCUCUACAGCAAAUACACCGGAAACUAUUUUUUUAUUUUUGUUUAAGGGCCCAACGGACAUUCUUUUAUUUUCUAGUGUGCACACUACUACUUUUAUUUUUGUAACUUUUGGGGUUUAUUUCACAUUUUGUACAAACAGGUCAAGUGUAAACAAUAUAAGAGUGGCUACUCAAUUGUA